AUUGAACGCUGGCGGCAUGCCUUACACAUGCAAGUCGAACGGCAGCACGGGAGCAAUCCUGGUGGCGAGUGGCGAACGGGUGAGUAAUAUAUCGGAACGUGCCCAGUCGUGGGGAUAACGUAGCGAAAGCUACGCUAAUACCGCAUACGAUCUAUGGAUGAAAGCGGGGGAUCGCAAGACCUCGCGCGAUUGGAGCGGCCGAUAUCAGAUUAGGUAGUUGGUGAGGUAAAGGCUCACCAAGCCGACGAUCUGUAGCUGGUCUGAGAGGACGACCAGCCACACUGGGACUGAGACACGGCCCAGACUCCUACGGGAGGCAGCAGUGGGGAAUUUUUGGACAAUGGGCGCAAGCCUGAUCCAGCAAUGCCGCGUGCAGGAUGAAGGCCUCGGUUGGUU
rnacentral:rRNA from 1 species